UUAACAGGGGUAUGAGGGCUCGAAAAGAAAAUGUUUGUUGGUUGAUCACAUGAUGACAAGAAAAUUGAAAGCAAUUUUUCUUCAAGAAAAAGAAAGCAAGAAUGAGGUGACAGUUGAAAGUUAAGUUCAUUGAUCACUGAUCGGGCUGUUUUGAGGUUGAAGUAGAAAAAAUGAUGUCAAUAAAUUCCCCAAUUCCGGCAGAUUUAAUGGCACCAGAUUAUAAUGGAAGCAUUUUGCCUGCUUCUGGAGAGUCUUCAAUCACAUCAUCAAUAGAUUCAAAUGAUAGCUUUGUCUCAGAUGAUGAGCCAUUAAAUGAAAGGACCCCAUUGGUCCGUGCUCAUAGCACUAUCAGUGAAGGAGGAGAGAGAAGAGGAACUAUUUUUUCAUCUGUAUUUACUCUUGUUUCAACUAUGAUUGGCGGUGGACUCUUAUCACUGCCAUUUGCAUUUGAACAAGGAGGAUUUAUAGUGUCAUCUUUUGUUUUGAUUUUUGUACUAAUCGCAUCAACACAUGGUGGAUUUUUGGUUAUAAAUAGCAAGAAAUAUUGUCAUGGAAAAAUAAGAAAUAUUGAAGAUGUAGCCAGAGUUGCAUUUGGAGCUAAGGGGCAGGUAAUCUAUUUAAUGUCUUACAUCUGUUUAAAAGUUUGAUUCUCAGCUCUACCAAUGCAAGAUACGGUCAAAGGCUCAAAGGCAUUGCUACAAUAAACUGCUGAUGUUUCAUAGAGUGCACUUUGAAUGCAAAGAUUGGCACCUGCAAAGGUCACAAUUCAAACACAGGGGCUAAGCUGAAGUUGGGCAGGGAACCAUUUACCCUGCACAUAUCAGUUAGAUGUUGGUCCAAGUAACUUUGUUUUUCAUUUUGUAUUUGGUGUCUGCUGUCUAUUUCAUUCUCAUUUCUGACCAAGUAAGUAAUGAGAUGAAAUUUGUUUUUCUGUUUCAGUUAAGAUUCAGAUUUAGAUUCUAUUCAUCUUUUCAUUGCCUGUCAAAUAUGUCAAUCAUUCUCCUUUUUAAUCUUAUUGAUGAUAGUCAAAACGCAUGCAAAAUAUUUUUGUUGGAAGUUUUUUCAGAAAGCAAGAAAUGAAAGGCUAUUUACCAAGAUGUGAUCAACUAACAUACUAUGCUUGUUCAUGUGAAAGAAAUAGAGAAAUCACCCUUUAGUUUUAGAAAUCACCCAUAACCUUUUCUGCACCAACUCAUCAUGAAAUGAGAAAAUAAAAACACUAGCUCAUCAAUUUUGAC